rnacentral:rRNA from 1 species
AAUAAGCGGAGGAAAAGAAACCAACAGGGAUUGCCUCAGUAACGGCGAGUGAAGCGGCAAGAGCUCAAAUUUGAAAUCUGGCUCCUUCGGGGCCCGAGUUGUAAUUUGUAGAGGAUGCUUCGGGCGUGGCCGCGGUCUAAGUCCCCUGGAACGGGGCGUCGCAGAGGGUGAGAAUCCCGUCUUCGGCCGGCCGGCCCCGCCCGUGUGAAGCUCCUUCGACGAGUCGAGUUGUUUGGGAAUGCAGCUCUAAAUGGGUGGUAAAUUUCAUCUAAAGCUAAAUACUGGUCGGAGACCGAUAGCGCACAAGUAGAGUGAUCGAAAGAUGAAAAGCACUUUGAAAAGAGAGUUAAACAGCAUGUGAAAUUGUUGAAAGGGAAGCGCUUGCGACCAGAGUCGGCCGCGGGGGCUCAGCGGGCACUCGUUGCCCGUGCACUCCCCCGUGGUCGGGCCAACGUCGGUUUCGACGGCCGGUCAAAGGCCCCCGGAAUGUGUCGCCUCUCGGGGCGUCUUAUAGCCGGGGGUGCAAUGCGGCCAGUCGGGACCGAGGAACGCGCUCCGGCACGGACGCUGGCUUAAUGGUCGUAAGCGACCCGUCUUGAAACACGGACCAAGGAGUCUAACAUCCACGCGAGUGUUCGGGUGUCAAACCCGUCCGCGCAGUGAAAGCGAACGGAGGUGGGAACCCUCAAGGGUGCACCAUCGACCGAUCCUGAAGUCUUCGGAUGGAUUUGAGUAAGAGCGUGGCUGUUGGGACCCGAAAGAUGGUGAACUAUGCCUGAAUAGGGUGAA